GGGAUGCGGAGCUUUAACAUGCAGUCGAACGGCAGCACGAAAAAAGCUUGCUUUUUUUGGUGGCGAGUGGCGAACGGGUGAGUAAUAUAUCGGAACGUGCCCAGUAGCGGGGGAUAACUACGCGAAAGCGUGGCUAAUACCGCAUACGCCCUACGGGGGAAAGGGGGGGAUCGCAAGACCUCUCACUAUUGGAGCGGCCGAUUUCGGAUUAGCUAGUUGGUGGGGUAAAGGCCCACCAAGGCAACGAUCCGUAGCUGGUUUGAGAGGACGGCCAGCCACACUGGGACUGAGACACGGCCCAGACUCCUACGGGAUGCGCAGUGGGGAAUUUUGGACAAUGGGGGAAACCCUGAUCCAGCCAUCCCGCGUGUGCUAUGAAGGCCUUCGGGUUGUAAAGCACUUCUGGCAGGGAAGAAACGGCGCUGAAUAAUACUUGGCGCAACUGACGGUACCUGCAGAAUAAGCACCGGCUAACUACGUGCCAGCAGCCGCGGUAAUACGUAGGGUGCAAGCGUUAAAUCGGAAUUACUGGGCGUAAAGCGUGCGCAGGCGGUUCGGAAAGAAAGAUGUGAAAUCCCAGAGCUUAACUUUGGAAUGGGAUUUUUUAACUACCGGGCUAGAGUAUGUCAGAGGGGGGUACAAUUCGACGUGUAGCAGUGAAAUGCGUAGAGAUGUGGAGGAAUACCCGAUGCGGACCGCACCCCCCUGAGACAGUACUGACGCUCAUGCACGAAGGCGUGCGUAGCCAACUAGAUUACAUGCCAUGCUACUCCACGCCCUAAACGAUGUCAACUAGCUGUGGGGCCUUCGGUCCUUACUAGCGCAGCUCACGCGAGAGUUGACCCGCCUGGGGACUACCGGCGCUAUAUAAAACUCCGAAGUAUCGGACGUCACCCCGAACCAAGCGAGGGAUGAUGUGGAUUAUUCGAUG
rnacentral:rRNA from 1 species